rnacentral:rRNA from 1 species
AUUGAACGCUGGCGGCAGGCUUAACACAUGCAAGUCGAGCGAGCGGCGGACGGGUGAGUAAUGUCUGGGAAACUGCCUGAUGGUGGGGGAUAACUACUGGAAACGGUAGCUAAUACCGCAUACCCUCCUAUGUGCCCAGAUGGGAUUAGCUAGUAGGUGGUGUAAUGGCUCACCUAGGCCACGAUCCCUAGCUGGUCUGAGAGGAUGACCAGCCACACUGGAACGGAGACAAGGUCCAGACUCCUACGGGAGGCAGCAGUGGGGAAUAUUGCACAAUGGGCGCAAGCCUGAUGCAGACAGGCCGCGUGUGUGAAGAAGGCCUUCGGGUUGUAAAGCACUUUCAGCGAGGAGGCGUUACUCGCAGAAGAAGCACCGGCUAACUCCGUGCCAGCAGCCGCGGUAAUAC